AAGAAAGUAAAUAAGGGCGCAUGGCGGAUGCCUUGGCUCUCGGAGGCGAUGAAGGACGUGAUAAGCUGCGAUAAGCUUCGGGUAGGUGCAAAUGACCUUUGAUCCGAAGAUUUCCGAAUGGGACAACCCGGCAUUCUGAAGGAAUGUCAUCCAACCUGGUUGGAGGCUAACGCAGGGAACUGAAACAUCUUAGUACCUGCAGGAAAAGAAAAUAAAUAAUGAUUCCCCUAGUAGUGGCGAGCGAACGGG
rnacentral:rRNA from 1 species